rnacentral:rRNA from 1 species
CGAUGAUGGAGAGCUUGCUCUUCGGAUUAGUGGCGAACGGGUGAGUAACACGUGAGCAAUCUGCCCUUGACUCUGGGAUAAGCGUUGGAAACGACGUCUAAUACCGGAUACGACCCUUGGAGGCAUCUCUGGGGGUGGAAAGAAUUUUGGUCAGGGAUGAGCUCGCGGCCUAUCAGCUAGUUGGUGAGGUAAUGGCUCACCAAGGCGACGACGGGUAGCCGGCCUGAGAGGGUGACCGGCCACACUGGGACUGAGACACGGCCCAGACUCCUACGGGAGGCAGCAGUGGGGAAUAUUGCACAAUGGGCGAAAGCCUGAUGCAGCAACGCCGCGUGAGGGACGACGGCCUUCGGGUUGUAAACCUCUUUUAGUAGGGAAGAAGCGAAAGUGACGGUACCUGCAGAAAAAGCACCGGCUAACUACGUGCCAGCAGCCGCGGUAAUACGUAGGGUGCAAGCGUUGUCCGGAAUUAUUGGGCGUAAAGAGCUCGUAGGCGGUUUGUCGCGUCUGCUGUGAAAACCCGAGGCUCAACCUCGGGCCUGCAGUGGGUACGGGCAGACUAGAGUGCGGUAGGGGAGAUUGGAAUUCCUGGUGUAGCGGUGGAAUGCGCAGAUAUCAGGAGGAACACCAAUGG